rnacentral:tRNA from 1 species
GCCGGUGUGGGAGCUGGUCAAGGCGAUCGCAUCGAAGCUGCUGCCGGCGCCGGUGCGCGAGGUUGCGAUUCUCGUCACCGGCU